rnacentral:rRNA from 1 species
UGGGGAAUUUUGGACAAUGGGCGCAAGCCUGAUCCAGCAAUGCCGCGUGCAGGAUGAAGGCCUUCGGGUUGUAAACUGCUUUUGUACGGAACGAAAAAGCUCUCUCUAAUACAGGGGGUGAAUGACGGUACCGUAAGAAUAAGCACCGGCUAACUCCGUGCCAGCAGCCGCGGUAAUACGGAGGGUGCAAGCGUUAUCCGGAUUCACUGGGUUUAAAGGGUGCGUAGGUGGGCAGAUAAGUCAGUGGUGAAAUCUUCCGGCUUAACCGGGAAACUGCCGUUGAUACUAUUUGUCUUGAAUAUUGCGGAGGUAAGCGGAAUACGUCAUGUAGCGGUGAAAUGCUUAGAUAUGACAUAGAACACCAAUUGCGAAGGCAGCUUACUACACAAUCAUUGACACUGAGGCACGAAAGCGUGGGUAGCGAACA